CACAGCAAAGAUUAAUUACUAAAUAUUAUUUAUUUAAUUAUUGCAUUAUUGUGCUGCUGUCUUAUUUAUGCUUUCGUGCUUUAAUAUUUCUUUAUGUUAUUCCCCCACCUGUGGGUUAGACGAUUGUAGGUGCCCAGGGAACCGGAAGUCAACCCGUUACAAUUGGAAUCUUGAGCCGGCCGGCUCGCGACCAUUUGAAGCAUGCCUGUUUGUACAGUACAGAUUACAUGACGCUCCCCAAUUGCACUCAAGGCGAUGGUGAGCUACCUUCUUGAAUCACCACAGACCAUGUGUCAUAAGUAGUCACAAUACCAUAAUGAUGAGAAUUUCAGGAUUUUGACGCAGCACUGAAGGAAUGGUGAUAUAUUUCCAAGUCAGGACGUUGAAAGGCUUGAAGGAGAAUUUACAGGACUACCUUGCAGAAGUCCUACAGAAAUGUGCUGGAGCUGAGAUCUGACUGACCUUCAACAAUUACAACCAUCAUCCUUUGUGCCAAGUUGGACUCUAAUCAAUGGAGAGAUGUCUGCUGAU